rnacentral:rRNA from 1 species
AUUGAACGCUGGCGGAAUGCUUUACACAUGCAAGUCGAACGGCAGCACGGACUUCGGUCUGGUGGCGAGUGGCGAACGGGUGAGUAAUGUAUCGGAACGUGCCCAGUCGUGGGGGAUAACGUAGUGAAAAUUACGCUAAUACCGCAUACGAUCUAUGGAUGAAAGCGGGGGAUCGCAAGACCUCGCGCGAUUGGCGCGGCCGAUAUCAGAUUAGGUAGUUGGUGGGGUAAAGGCCCACCAAGCCAACGAUCUGUAGCUGGUCUGAGAGGACGACCAGCCACACUGGAACUGAGACACGGUCCAGGCUCCUACGGGAGGCAGCAGUGGGGAAUUUUGGACAAUGGGCGAAAGCCUGAUCCAGCCAUUCCGCGUGCAGGAUGAAGGCCCUCGGGUUGUAAACUGCUUUUGUACAGAACGAAAAGGUUUCUACUAAUACUAGGAGCUCAUGACGGUACUGUAAGAAUAAGCACCGGCUAACUACGUGCCAGCCGCCGCAGUAA